rnacentral:rRNA from 1 species
AGAGUUUGAUCAGUGGCUCAGGACGAACGCUGGCGGCGUGCUUAACACAUGCAAGUCGAACGGUAAGGCCCUUCGGGGUACACGAGUGGCGAACGGGUGAGUAACACGUGGGUGAUCUGCCCUGCACUUCGGGAUAAGCCUGGGAAACUGGGUCUAAUACCGGAUAGGACUCCUGGCUUCAUGGUUGGGGGUGUAAAGCUUUUGCGGUGUGGGAUGGGCCCGCGGCCUAUCAGCUUGUUGGUGGGGUAAUGGCCUACCAAGGCGACGACGGGUAGCCGGCCUGAGAGGGUGACCGGCCACACUGGGACUGAGAUACGGCCCAGACUCCUACGGGAGGCAGCAGUGGGGAAUAUUGCACAAUGGGCGCAAGCCUGAUGCAGCGACGCCGCGUGAGGGAUGACGGCCUUCGGGUUGUAAACCUCUUUCAAUAGGGACGAAGCGCAAGUGACGGUACCUAUAGAAGAAGGACCGGCCAACUACGUG